UACGAAGGGGGCUAGCGUUGCUCGGAAUCACUGGGCGUAAAGCGCACGUAGGCGGGUUCUUAAGUCAGGGGUGAAAUCCUGGAGCUCAACUCCAGAACUGCCUUUGAUACUGGGAGUCUUGAGUUCGGGAGAGGUGAGUGGAACUGCGAGUGUAGAGGUGAAAUUCGUAGAUAUUCGCAAGAACACCAGUGGCGAAGGCGGCUCACUGGCCCGAUGCUGACGCUGAGGUGCGAAAGCGUGGGGAGCAAACAGG
rnacentral:rRNA from 1 species